GCCACGGUAGAGAUGUCGCGUGCCGCCCUCCCUGCGUCCCUCCCUAUUUAUUUACCUUUACCUGGCCGUGGGAAAAAGGUCACGGAGGAAAGGAAAGGGAGGGAGAGGUGUGAGGGGGUGUUACCGAUCCGAGGUUGUCGUUUGAACUGUAUGUGUGGAGUCGAUCGGAGAGGAGAGUUACGCUGUGUUGUGUUGUGAGCGGGGAUGUGGUGGAGAGUAGGAGGGGAGGAAGAGGGAGAAGGGAAGUAGAUGGGAUAAAGAGAGUAAGAAGGGUAGAUGAGAUGCUGAGAGGAAGAGUAAUAGUAGAUAAGAUAGAGAGGAAAGGAGAGACACUUUGUUUUGUUAUCGGGGAAGUGAGGAAGAAGAGGAGGGGGAGGAGAAGGGUAGUAGAUGGGAUAAAGAGGGUAAGAAGGAUAGAUGGGAGAUGAGAUGCUGGGAGGAAGGGUAACAGAAGAUAGGAUAGAGAGGAGAGUCACUUGGUUUUGUUAUCGGGGAAGUGAGGAAGAAGAGGAGGAGGAGAAGGGUAGUGGAUGGGAUAAAGAAUUUAAGAAGGGUAGAUGGGAGAUGAGAUGCUGGUAGGAAGGGUAUUAGAAGAUAGGAUAGAGAGAAGAGAGAAGAGUUACGUUGUGUUGUAAUCUGGGAGGUGGAGGAGAGGAGGAGGAGGAGGAGGAGGAGAAGGAAGGGAAGUAGAUAGGGUAAAGAGGGUAGAUGGGAAUAGGGUGAUAAAUGAAGGGUGAUAGAAGAUAGGAUAGAGAAGAAAGAAGAGGAGGAGGAAGGGAGGUAGUAGACAGAUGGAUGUAAAGAGAGGUAAAAAAGGUAGAUAAAUAGAAGUGGUUGAUGGGGAGUAGAAGAUGGGAUGAAAAGUGUAGAAGGGAAGAUGAGAUGCUGGGUCGAAGAUAAGAAACGUUGGAGGAAAAUAGAAGAUGGAAUAAGUAGGAGUAAGAAAGGAAGGGUAUAUAGAUGGGGGAUUAAAUGCUGGAAGGAAGAGAAGAAGAUAGAUGGGGGAGGUAAAGACAGGGAUGAAAGGGAAUAGGAAGAUGGGAUGCUGGGAUGAAGGUAGUAGAUGAUGGAGAUAUAGAUAGACUGAAGGAUGAGAAGAGUAGAUAGGAGUUUGGAUGCUGAGAGGGAGAGGUAGACGUUGAGAUGAAGAUGUAUACAAGAAAGGUAGAUUGGAGAUAGAUGACGUGAUAAAAAUGGAAAAGAGAGAGAGAGAGAGAGAGAGAGAGAGAGAGAGAGAGAGAGAGAGAGAGAGAGAGAGAGAGAGAGAGAGAGAGAGAGAGAGAGAGAGAGAGAGAGAGAGAUGCACAGGAAUGGGAGAUAAGAUGCUGGGGGAGGGAGGGAGAUGGAGAUGAAGAAGGAUGGGAGAUGAGAUGAGAUGCUGGGAAAUGGAAAUAAAAGAAUGAAUUAAGAAAGAUGAAAAGGGUGGAUGCAAGGGAGAGACGGGAUGCCGGAGGACAAAGAGAGAGGGAGAGAGAGAGAAAGAGAGGGUCCGUGAAAUACAAAUAAAGCAAUGAAUUAUUAAACGCACUGCAGUAAACAACUAUAUAGAACCGAGAGGGUACAGAGAGAGAAUAAGCUGCAAAGUUCGUAACCCCGACACACCCAUGCCACAGAGACUAAAAGGAAAUGAAGUAGAGAGUAAGGACAGGUAAGAUGAGAGUAAGAUCCGCCAAAAUUAACGAUUAGGCGACAGGUAUACUCUUUUCUCACCCUUCUUAACCCAUCUUCUAUUUUCUUCUCCAUCUUCGACCCAGCAUCUCAUCUCCCAUAUACUCUUUUCUCACACUUCCUUAUGCCAUCUUCUAUUUUCUUCCCCAUCUUCGACCCAGCAUCUCAUCUCCCAUAUACUCUUUUCUCACCCUCCUUAUCCCAUCUUCUAUUUUCUUCCCCAUCUUCGACCCAGCAUCUCAUCUCCCAUAUACUCUUUUCUCACCCUCCUCAUCCCAUCUUCUAUUUUCCUCCUCAUCUUCGACCCAGCAUCUCAUCUUCCCUUCUACACUAUUCAUCUCUUUUCAUCGCACCUUCUACCCUUCUCAUUUACCAUUUCUGUCUAUCUACCCUUUUCACCUCUCUUUAUAUCCAUUUGUCUAGUACCUCACUUCCUCCUCCUCUUCUUUUUUCUAGGGCUUGUAUUCUUAAGCUUAUCGGCACCUCAGUACGCUUGUUUGAAAUGCCUCUCGUAGAAUUUGCAGAGGUGUCCAUGGACUGUUUUGUGACCCUAGAGGCAUAUGAAAGUAAGAUCCCAGAAAAUGAAUGAUUAGGAGACACACAAAAAAACUAUAGGACUCUUAGCGUAUCGGCACCUCAGUACGCUUGUUUGAAAUGCCUCUCGUAGAAUUUGCAGGGGUGAUCAUGGACUGUUUUGUGACCCUAGAGACAGUUUUACCCAACCUCAACUGGAAAAUCACACAUGAAAACCCAGUAAACCUUCUCGGUAGCCUUGGAAAAUAGUCGUAUAAUGAGAGCCUGAUAUGUUUAAGAAUAUGGGCCUAUGAAUCAAGCAUGAAUGAAUAUGAAUGUGCUCGCUUUUUCUCACUCCCUUCUGACAUGUAACCCCCCUCCUCUCCCCUCUCUCCCACUCCUCCAAAUAAGGACUGAGCAAGCAAGGAAUACACAGAUAAUGAAGGAUAAAAGGAGUUAGAUAGAAAGCAGACAAUUGAAGUAUAUUAGGUUCGGAAAAUCAAUAAGCGAAUCAUGCAACAAGAAAUAUAAAAAAAGAUAAAAAAAACACUUACAUUUUAAUUUUCAUAAGAGAAACACAUAAUGAAUACACAGAUAAUGAAGGAUAAAAGGAGUAAGACAGAAAGCAGACAAUUGAAGUAUAUUAGGUUCGGAAAAUCAAUAAGCGAAUCAUGCAACAAAAAAUAUAAAAAAAGAUAAAAAAAACACUUACAUUUUAAUUUUCAUAAGAAAGAGACACAUAAUGAAUACACAGAUAAUGAAGGAUAAAAGGAGUAAGAUAGAAAGCAGGCAAUUGAAGUAUAUUAGGUUCGGAAAAUCAAUAAGCGAAUCAUGCAACAAGAAAUAUAAAAAAGAUAAAAAGACACUUACAUUUUAAUUUUCAUAAGAGAGAGACACAUAAUGAAUACACAGAUAAUGAAGGAUAAAAGGAGUAAGAUAGAAAGCAGACAAUUGAAGUAUAUUAGGUUCGGAAAAUCAAUAAGCGAAUCAUGCAACAAGAAAUA